rfam:Microbacterium laevaniformans OR221 ctg82, whole genome shotgun sequence.
GGGGCUGAUCGGUUUCGACAGCGUCUGUGAAUCUGCGAGAAGCGGGCCGAGGAUGCAGGGUUAUCUCGUAAACGAUCUCUGCAAAACUACAAGUGCCGAAUCCAAGCGCACUGACUUCGCCCUCGCUGCCUAAGCGAGCCCGAUAGUCCGUCAGACCGUGUGUGACCCCGCCACGGACCCUGGCGUCAUCUAGGGGUCUUGCUGUGUGACGGCGCCUGGACGUCACACGGGACUCUUCCCAGGCUGGGCUCGUCGACUUAGGUGUCUGUGACAAAGGUCGGAGCCGAGCAGAACGUCUUCACAGACUGCGCCCGGAGAAGACGCAGUAUCUCAGCGUUGGACGGGGGUUCGAUUCCCCCCAGCUCCACGA